AUUAUUUACUUUUAAAAAUAUUUCACUUGAAAAAUAAGUUAGAAGCAGUUUUGUUUGAUAAGUUUGAAGAAAAUAAAAGUGAAAAGAUGUUCUACAUAUUUAUCUUUAAUGUUAUAUUUCAAGCUAAUUUAUAUAUUGUUUAUUUAGUCAAUUUGUGUUGUUUAAACAGUCUAAUUUUGAUAGUUUAGUAUAUUUUUAUUAUUUUCUCUUUACAUAUAUUAUAUAUAAAUUUUCAAAAUAUUUACGUAUACAUUUUUGAAAUGUGUACCAGUUACGCCAAAUCCUAUAAUUAAAUUGGAAAAUCCAAUUUUAAAUUAAAGAUCAUAAUUUAUUCUUCAAAUAACUAACGCUCUAAAUCUAACUAACUAUUCUUUUGCAUGUGUUACUAAAUCUAUAUAUAACUCAUCCCAUUAAUUUCACGGUUCAAUUUCUUCUUCAGGAACGAAUUGCUUGAUGGAUUGAUGCGGGAGUUUCCGGGUGCACUUGUGAUCAAGACUCUGAGCAACAUGGUUUUGAGAACAAAAAAUUACCAUCAGGCAGCUCAACACGGAUCCGGAACUACAACGAGUAGAUGUAACUGAAUGGUUCACGUGGAAUAUUAGCAGACUGGUAAAAUCAAAUUCGGAACUAUGACGAUUUUACGUCCUAAGACAUUUGCAGCUAGUAAAAAUGAUACCAAACUAUAACGAGCUGAGUUACGUCCUCAAUUAGCAUAAGAGCCGAGUCCACCGUGCCGCAAGGCCAGAGUUUUAAAUAAUUGUGUACAAUAAAAAUAUAAUAUAUUAAUUUAUUGAAGCAUAAGGAAUAUGUUUCUAAACAUUUAUCGUACUAAUUUGUAUACAUAUACGUACACAAAUAUCAUACAUACAAUACAAUACAAUAAAUAAAAGGAGAAUAAGAUCAAUAUCUAAACUGUCCACAUAGGACUAAAAAAUCAACCAAUAGAAAAAAAAUAUUUUGCCACGUAAAACCGAUGUUGGGCUGUUAUCUAUUCUUGAUCCGUGAAUCAAUAUGAGAUUUGGCCCAUAAGCCCAAUCGUUUAGAAGAGAAGAGUAGGCAAGGGGCAAACAAUGACACAUGUCUCUUUAUAAAUCUCUACGUUUUCGUUUACAAAAAUGAAACCACCAAAUUGGGUCAGAGAAAAAUAUAAACCAACCUAUGUUAUUUUCUUUCCAGCCCAAUUUUGAACCACCUGAC
rnacentral:lncRNA from 1 species